rnacentral:lncRNA from 1 species
AUUUAGAACGAUUUAAAAAAAAGUGUCUUGCAUAAACAUAAUCCAUCAUCUUUUAACUGUAUUUCAUACCAAGGGUACUAAAAUUGCAUUACCACAUGGAACUAGAUGGACUUAUGUCUGUAGAGGGCAGCAGAGAUCAGCAUUUGGGAAUUGGCCAUGGGUAGGCCAGCUGAAGAAAGAAGGCAGAGCCUGCCCAAGCUGUCCUGCCCCAAGCCGACUAUGCUGGUUGUAUGGCAGGAAGGGGCAGCCACUCAGGCAAGAUGGUGGCAGAGGUGAUACCGUUGGUCUGGGUCUCCGAGCAGGAUUUCAGGCUGGUCAGCUGGAGAAUUUCCACUGCCAAAAAGGUAAUUUCAUGUAUAAAUGGGUCCAAUCUGGGAAGCUGUCCAAAAGAAGUUGCUCAGGUGAGUCACUGUGUGAUUUACAUGCAGG